rnacentral:rRNA from 1 species
UACAGAGGUCCCGAGCGUUGUUCGGAUUCACUGGGCGUAAAGGGUGCGCAGGUGGGUUGGCAAGUUUGAUGUGAAAGCCCUGGGCUUAACCCGGGAAUGGCAUUGAAUACUGCUGAUCUGGAGGAUCGGAGGGGGGACUGGAAUUCUUGGUGUAGCAGUGAAAUGCGUAGAUAUCAAGAGGAACACCAGUGGCGAAGGCGAGUCCCUGGACGAUACCUGACACUGAGGCACGAAAGCCGGGGGAGCAAACAGG